rnacentral:rRNA from 1 species
UACGGAGGGUGCAAGCGUUGUCCGGAAUCACUGGGCGUAAAGGGCGCGUAGGCGGCCUGGUAAGUAGGGGGUGAAAUCCUGCGGCUUAACCGCAGGGCUGCCUUCUAAACUGUCAGGCUUAAGCACGGUAGAGGCAGAUGGAAUUCCCGGUGUAGCGGUGGAAUGCGUAGAGAUCGGGAAGAACAUCAGUGGCGAAGGCGGUCUGCUGGGCCGUUGCUGACGCCGAGGCGCGACAGCGUGGGGAGCAAACAGG